AUUGAACGCUGGCGGCAGGCCUAACACAUGCAAGUCGAGCGGAUGAGUGGAGCUUGCUCCAUGAUUCAGCGGCGGACGGGUGAGUAAUGCCUAGGAAUCUGCCUGGUAGUGGGGGACAACGUUUCGAAAGGAACGCUAAUACCGCAUACGUCCUACGGGAGAAAGUGGGGGAUCUUCGGACCUCACGCUAUCAGAUGAGCCUAGGUCGGAUUAGCUAGUUGGUGAGGUAAAGGCUCACCAAGGCGACGAUCCGUAACUGGUCUGAGAGGAUGAUCAGUCACACUGGAACUGAGACACGGUCCGGACUCCUACGGGAGGCAGCAGUGGGGAAUAUUGGACAAUGGGCGAAAGCCUGAUCCAGCCAUGCCGCGUGUGUGAAGAAGGUCUUCGGAUUGUAAAGCACUUUAAGUUGGGAGGAAGGGCAGUAAGUUAAUACCCUUGGGGGGUGACGCUACCCUCAGAAGAAGCACCGGCUAAUUCCGUGCCAGCAGCCGCCGUAAAAC
rnacentral:rRNA from 1 species